rnacentral:rRNA from 1 species
CCUACGGGAGGCUGCAGUGGGGAAUAUUGCACAAUGGGGGAAACCCUGAUGCAGCAACGCCGCGUGAGUGAUGACGGCCUUCGGGUUGUAAAGCUCUGUCUUCAGGGACGAUAAUGACGGUACCUGAGGAGGAAGCCACGGCUAACUACGUGCCAGCAGCCGCGGUAAUACGUAGGUGGCGAGCGUUGUCCGGAUUUACUGGGCGUAAAGGGAGCGUAGGCGGAUUUUUAAGUGAGAUGUGAAAUACUCGGGCUUAACCUGAGUGCUGCAUUUCAAACUGGAAGUCUAGAGUGCAGGAGAGGAGAAGGGAAUUCCUAGUGUAGCGGUGAAAUGCGUAGAGAUUAGGAAGAACACCAGUGGCGAAGGCGCUUCUCUGGACUGUAACUGACGCUGAGGCUCGAAAGCGUGGGGAGCAAACAGGAUUAGAUACCCCGGUAGUC